rnacentral:rRNA from 1 species
UACGGAGGGUGCAAGCGUUAUCCGGAUUCACUGGGUUUAAAGGGUGCGUAGGUGGGCAGGUAAGUCAGUGGUGAAAUCUUUGGGCUUAACCCGAAAACUGCCAUUGAUACUAUCUGUCUUGAAUGUUGUGGAGGUGAGCGGAAUAUGUCAUGUAGCGGUGAAAUGCUUAGAUAUGACAUAGAACAUCUAUUGCGAAGGCAGCUCACUACGCAAAUAUUGACACUGAGGCACGAAAGCGUGGGGGAUCAAAACAGG